CACUACAAGACAUCAAGCCUGAACCAGGACUUGAACCCUAGACCCUUAGAUUAAAAGUCUGAGGCUCUACCAACUGAGGUUUGACCUUGAUUGAAAGGCAAUCUUUUAAAUCCAUACUUGUUAAAGGAAUAUAUAAGACGACUGAGAAGAAACCCAAUUCCAAAAAGGCUCAGAGGAACAAGCAGAAAAGGUACAUCUUUUUUUGGAACCGGCUCAGGAUUAGCAAGAGUCAGGGAUCUCACCAGAAAGUCACUCCACUACAAAACUUCAAGCCUGAACAGGGACUUGAACCCUGGAUCCUUAGAUUAAAAGUCUGAGGCUCUACCAACUGAGGUUUGACCUUGUAUGAAAGGUAAUCUUGUAAAACAAUACUUGUUAAAGGAAUAUAUGAGACGACUGAGAAGAAACCCAAUUCCAAAAAGGCUCAGAGGAACAAGCAGAAAAGGUACAUCUUUUUUUGGAACCGGCUCAGGAUUAGCAAGAGUCAGGAAUCUCACCAGAAAGUCACUCCACUACAAGACAUCAAGCCUGAACAGGGACUUGAACCCUGGACCCUUAGAUUAAAAGUCUGAGGCUCUACCAACUGAGGUUUGACCUUGAUUGAAAGGCAAUCUUGUAAAACAAUACUUG
ensembl:lncRNA